rnacentral:rRNA from 1 species
GACGAACGCUGGCGGCGUGCUUAACACAUGCCAGUCGAACGGAAAGGCCCUGCUUUUGUGGGGUGCUCGAGUGGCGAACGGGUGAGUAACACGUGAGUAACCUGCCCUUGACUUUGGGAUAACUUCAGGAAACUGGGGCUAAUACCGGAUAGGAGCUCCUGCUGCAUGGUGGGGGUUGGAAAGUUUCGGCGGUUGGGGAUGGACUCGCGGCUUAUCAGCUUGUUGGUGGGGUAGUGGCUUACCAAGGCUUUGACGGGUAGCCGGCCUGAGAGGGUGACCGGCCACAUUGGGACUGAGAUACGGCCCAGACUCCUACGGGAGGCAGCAGUGGGGAAUAUUGCACAACGGGCGGAAGCCUGAUGCAGCAACGCCGCGUGCGGGAUGACGGCCUUCGGGUUGUAAACCGCUUUCGCCUGUGACGAAGCGUGAGUGACGGUAAUGGGUAAAGAAGCACCGGCUAACUACGUG